rnacentral:rRNA from 1 species
GCCUAACACAUGCAAGUCGAGGGGCAUCGGGAUUGAAGCUUGCUUCAAUUGCCGGCGACCGGCGCACGGGUGCGUAACGCGUAUGUAACCUACCUAUAACAGGGGCAUAACACUGAGAAAUUGGUACUAAUUCCCCAUAAUAUUCGGAGAGGCAUCUCUCCGGGUUGAAAACUCCGGUGGUUAUAGAUGGACAUGCGUUGUAUUAGCUAGUUGGUGAGGUAACGGCUCACCAAGGCAACGAUACAUAGGGGGACUGAGAGGUUAACCCCCCACACUGGUACUGAGACACGGACCAGACUCCUACGGGAGGCAGCAGUGAGGAAUAUUGGUCAAUGGACGCAAGUCUGAACCAGCCAUGCCGCGUGCAGGAAGACGGCUCUAUGAGUUGUAAACUGCUUUUGUACGAGGGUAAACUCACCUACGUGUAGGUGACUGAAAGUAUCGUACGAAUAAGGAUCGGCUAACUCCGUGCCAGCAGCCGCGGUAAUACGGAGGAUUCAAGCGUUAUCCGGAUUUAUUGGGUUUAAAGGGUGCGUAGGCGGUUUGAUAAGUUAGAGGUGAAAUCCCGGGGCUUAACUCCGGAACUGCCUCUAAUACUGUUAGACUAGAGAGUAGUUGCGGUAGGCGGAAUGUAUGGUGUAGCGGUGAAAUGCUUAGAGAUCAUACAGAACACCGAUUGCGAAGGCAGCUUACCAAACUAUAUCUGACGU